rnacentral:lncRNA from 1 species
GAAAAGUCUGGCUCCUCCCACCUCCUGCCCCAGGAGCCCUGCUGGGGGGGAACAGUCAGCCAGCCCUUCUCUCCCAUCUAUCUUAUUUGCCUGUGCUGCUGGCAAUGGGGGCAUGAAGCCAUGGCUCUGUGGAGAACUUGCAGACAUUUCAGCAUCCUCCCUGAGCAAACGCUUAUAUCAGGGGUCACUGGCAGAGUUCCCUCUCCCAGGAGAUCCGGCGAAGUGAAGUGGGUGAGAAGACAGCAGGGAGGGAUGAAAGAUGUUUCUGGGGUCCCAGAGAGUUGGCAGGCCCCAGGGAUGGGAAGUAGGGUGAACGGAGUACUAUUCACCACCACGUGCUCAGGAAAGGACUCAGUGCUGUGCCAGGAUUGUGGGGUUCAGGUUGUGGCAAAGCAAUUAUUCCAACCAUCUGGUAGCAUUUGAGGUUUUACCCCAACCCAGCUCAUGCUUUCCAUUUGCUAGUUGAGAAAACUGAGGUUAAAUGGUUCUCGAGAGCACACUGCUUUGAUUAUGCUUGGAACUCAGCUAGAGUCCACCCUUUUCCAGUCCCAUGUUACCCCCGCCUGUACUUUCAGCAGACCCAUGACCAGGAUGCAGGUUUGGUUUGGCUCUGGCUGCCAUCUGGUCCCUGCCACUCUCCCAGGUAGGGGCUGUGACUGUGCUUUCUCCAGUUUCCUCUUGCCCUCUGGGCUCUGGUCAGAGCCUGGCCACACUGGACAUGCCAGGCUGGCCCCUGGUGAGUGGUGACGUCCCACUUAGCCCAUUGUCAUGCCACCCCCGGGCUGCAACAGCAGCUGCCUGGCUGAAUAAUUCAUCAGACCUUGUUUACUCUUCCCUUCCUGGCUGUUAGUGGCUCUCAAAACCCCACCACAGCCCCCUCCCAGGUCCAGCUGCCCUGGCCUCCACCCUGCUCUCCAAUUUAGCCACCAGAAAGCUGCUCCACAACCGGGCCAUGCGCAUUGGCCAUGAAUUAUUCAGGCCUCAUUUGGCUGGAGCCAGGGUAGACAUUGGGGCUGGAGGAGAGUUUGGGCCAUGCGGUCUGUGCCAUUUGGAGGGCACGUGGAGGAAGCAUGUGGAACACAGAGUUGUCUCUGUCUUCAUCUCCAUUCAAGCUGACACCCACGUCCUGUUGGAUCCAGAGUGAUCUGCCCAUUGUGAGCCCAGGGGAGCAGAGGAUGCCUCAGGGUGAGAGCUCCCCAACCUUGAAGCACAGAGACCUGCACAGAGCAUACCAUCGGUUCUCAGGACCGCGGGCUGAUUGGCAGGCUGGCCUACAUCAAUCAACAAGAGGAUGACACAUUUCAUCCAGUUACAGGCCCGCCCAGCCCAUCUCCUCAAGGCACUCCUGUGAGCUGAGAAGGACAAGCGCAUCCUUUCUGGCUUCUACCCUCAAAGAACUCAGCACUUUGCAGUUGAUUACUCCACAGCCCUUUGAUUUGUGAGAGAAACUGGCGGCAGGGCUGUCCC